CUACCAUGGCAGUCACGGGUAACGGAGAAUUAGGGUUCGAUUCCGGAGAGGGAGCCUGAGAAACGGCUACCACAUCUACGGAAGGCAGCAGGCGCGAAAAUUGCCCAAUCCUGACACGGGGAGGCAGUGACAAGAAAUAACAACUCUAGGUUUUCUUAGAAGUGUAAUGAGGAUAAUUUACAAACCUUACCGAAUGCAAUUGGAGGGCAAGUCUGGUGCCAGCAGCCGCGGUAAUUCCAGCUCCAAUAGCGUAUAUUAAAGUUGUUGCAGUUAAAAAGCUCGUAGUUGAAGUUCUGAUUGUUCGGGUUUCUAGACAUUAGUCGGAGAUACUGACAGUCGUCCGCUUGCAAACAUAUGUUCGAUCUUUACCGGUUGGCUAUGUGAGUAAGCAUUUUACCUUGAGAAAAACAGAGUGUUCCAGGCAGGUUUGUCCGGAAUGUAUUAGCAUGGAAUAAUAGAAUAUGACUGAAGUCUAUUUAUUGGUUACAGGCUUUAGUAAUGAUUAAUAGGAACAGUCGGGGGCAUUCGUACUCAGCAGUCAGAGGUGAAAUUCUAAGAUUUGCUGAAGACGAACUAAUGCGAAAGCAUUUGCCAAGGAUGUUUUCAUUAAUCAAGAACGAAAGUUAGGGGAUC
rnacentral:rRNA from 1 species